rnacentral:rRNA from 1 species
CACUCCCUACGGGAGGCAGCAGUGGGGAAUAUUGGACAAUGGGCGCAAGCCUGAUCCAGCCAUGCCGCGUGAGUGAUGAAGGCCCUAGGGUUGUAAAGCUCUUUCACCGGUGAAGAUAAUGACGGUAACCGGAGAAGAAGCCCCGGCUAACUUCGUGCCAGCAGCCGCGGUAAUACGAAGGGGGCUAGCGUUGUUCGGAUUUACUGGGCGUAAAGCGCACGUAGGCGGACUAUUAAGUCAGGGGUGAAAUCCCGGGGCUCAACCCCGGAACUGCCUUUGAUACUGGUAGUCUUGAGUUCGAGAGAGGUGAGUGGAAUUCCGAGUGUAGAGGUGAAAUUCGUAGAUAUUCGGAGGAACACCAGUGGCGAAGGCGGCUCACUGGCUCGAUACUGACGCUGAGGUGCGAAAGCGUGGGGAGCAAACAGGAUUAGAUACCCCUGUAGUCCCAUGA